rnacentral:rRNA from 1 species
GUGGGGAAUUUUGGACAAUGGGCGCAAGCCUGAUCCAGCCAUGCCGCGUGCAGGAUGAAGGCCUUCGGGUUGUAAACUGCUUUUGUACGGAACGAAAAGACUCUGGUUAAUACCUGGGGUCCAUGACGGUACCGUAAGAAUAAGCACCGGCUAACUACGUGCCAGCAGCCGCGGUAAUACGUAGGGUGCGAGCGUUAAUCGGAAUUACUGGGCGUAAAGCGUGCGCAGGCGGUUAUAUAAGACAGAUGUGAAAUCCCCGGGCUCAACCUGGGAACUGCAUUUGUGACUGUAUAGCUAGAGUACGGCAGAGGGGGAUGGAAUUCCGCGUGUAGCAGUGAAAUGCGUAGAUAUGCGGAGGAACACCGAUGGCGAAGGCAAUCCCCUGGGCCUGUACUGACGCUCAUGCACGAAAGCGUGGGGAGCAAACAGGAUUAGAUACCCUAGUAGUCC